AUUGAACGCUGGCGGCAGGCCUAACACAUGCAAGUCGAAUGGUAACAGGAAACAGCUUGCUGUUUCGCUGACGAGUGGCGGACGGGUGAGUAAUGUCUGGGAAACUGCCUGAUGGAGGGGGAUAACUACUGGAAACGGUAGCUAAUACCGCAUAACGUCGCAAGACCAAAGAGGGGGACCUUCGGGCCUCUUGCCAUCAGAUGUGCCCAGAUGGGAUUAGCUAGUAGGUGGGGUAACGGCUCACCUAGGCGACGAUCCCUAGCUGGUCUGAGAGGAUGACCAGCCACACUGGAACUGAGACACGGUCCAGACUCCUACGGGAGGCAGCAGUGGGGAAUAUUGCACAAUGGGCGCAAGCCUGAUGCAGCCAUGCCGCGUGUAUGAAGAAGGCCUUCGGGUUGUAAAGUACUUUCAGCGGGGAGGAAGGGAGUAAAGUUAAUACCUUUGCUCAUUGACGUUACCCGCAGAAGAAGCACCGGCUAACUCCGUGCCAGCAGCCGCGGUAAUACGGAGGGUGCAAGCGUUAAUCGGAAUUACUGGGCGUAAAGCGCACGCAGGCGGUUUGUUAAGUCAGAUGUGAAAUCCCCGGGCUCAACCUGGGAACUGCAUCUGAUACUGGCAAGCUUGAGUCUCGUAGAGGGGGGUAGAAUUCCAGGUGUAGCGGUGAAAUGCGUAGAGAUCUGGAGGAAUACCGGUGGCGAAGGCGGCCCCCUGGACGAAGACUGACGCU
rnacentral:rRNA from 1 species